rnacentral:rRNA from 1 species
UCCUACGGGGGGCUGCAGUGGGGAAUCUUGCGCAAUGGGCGAAAGCCUGACGCAGCCAUGCCGCGUGAAUGAUGAAGGUCUUAGGAUUGUAAAAUUCUUUCACCGGGGACGAUAAUGACGGUACCCGGAGAAGAAGCCCCGGCUAACUUCGUGCCAGCAGCCGCGGUAAUACGAAGGGGGCUAGCGUUGCUCGGAAUUACUGGGCGUAAAGGGCGCGUAGGCGGAUCGUUUAGUCAGAGGUGAAAUCCCAGGGCUCAACCCUGGAAUUGCCUUUGAUACUGGCGAUCUUGAGUGUGAGAGAGGUAUGUGGAACUCCGAGUGUAGAGGUGAAAUUCGUAGAUAUUCGGAAGAACACCAGUGGCGAAGGCGACAUACUGGCUCAUUACUGACGCUGAGGCGCGAAAGCGUGGGGAGCAAACAGGAUUAGAUACCCCAGUAGUC